AUUGAACGCUGGCGGCAGGCCUAACACAUGCAAGUCGAGCGAGCGGCGGACGGGUGAGUAAUGUCUGGGAAACUGCCUGAUGGAGGGGGAUAACUACUGGAAACGGUAGCUAAUACCGCAUACCAUCAGAUGUGCCCCGAUGGGAUUAGCUAGUAGGUGGGGUAAUGGCUCACCUAGGCGACGAUCCCUAGCGGGUCUGAGAGGAUGACCAGCCACACUGGAACGGAGACACGGUCCAGACGCCUACGGUAGGCAGCAGUGGGGAAUAUUGCACAAUGGGCGCAAGCCGGAUGCAGCCAGGCCGCGUGUAUGAAGAAGGCCUUCGGGUUGUAAAGUACUUUCAGCGGGGAGGCGUUACCCGCAGAAGAAGCACCGGCUAACUACGUGCCAGCAGCCGCGGUAAUAC
rnacentral:rRNA from 1 species